rnacentral:rRNA from 1 species
CCAAUAGCGUAUAUUAAAGUUGUUGCAGUUAAAAAGCUCGUAGUUGAAUUUCGGGAUCAAUUAAUUGGUCGUGCCUCUGGUACGUACUGAUUUUAUUGGUUUCUCCCUUCUGACGAACCAUGAUGUCAUUAAUUUGGUGUCGUGGAGAAUCAGGACUGUUACUUUGAAAAAAUUAGAGUGUUUAAAGCAAGCUAACGCUUGAAUACAUUAGCAUGGAAUAAUGAAAUAGGACGUUUGAUCCUAUUUUGUUGGUUUCUAGGAUCGACGUAAUGAUUAAUAGGGAUAGUUGGGGGCAUUAGUAUUCAAUUGUCAGAGGUGAAAUUCUUGGAUUUAUUGAAGACUAACUACUGCGAAAGCAUUUGCCAAGGAUGUUUUCAUUAAUCAAGAACGAAAGUUAGGGGAUCGAAGACGAUCAGAUACCGUCGUAGUCUUAACCAUAAACUAUGCCGACUAGGGAUCGGAUGAUGUUAAUUUUUUAAUGACUCAUUCGGCGCCUUACA